CGCCAGACUCCUACGGGAGGCAGCAGUGGGGAAUAUUGCACAAUGGGGGAAACCCUGAUGCAGCGACGCCGCGUGAGCGAUGAAGUAUUUCGGUAUGUAAAGCUCUAUCAGCAGGGAAGAAAAUGACGGUACCUGACUAAGAAGCCCCGGCUAACUACGUGCCAGCAGCCGCGGUAAUACGUAGGGGGCAAGCGUUAUCCGGAUUUACUGGGUGUAAAGGGAGCGUAGACGGCUGUGCAAGCCAGAUGUGAAAGCCCGGGGCUCAACCCCGGGACUGCAUUUGGAACUGUGUGGCUGGAGUGUCGGAGAGGCAGGCGGAAUUCCUAGUGUAGCGGUGAAAUGCGUAGAUAUUAGGAGGAACACCAGUGGCGAAGGCGGCUUACUGGACUGUAACUGACGUUGAGGCUCGAAAGCGUGGGGAGCAAACAGGAUUAGAUACCCGCGUACC
rnacentral:rRNA from 1 species